CACACAGUGUGCAGGGGGCGUUGACUUUCUGCAGAGUCAGUCGCUACAGACCUCCAAACUUCAUGCUGCCUUCAGAUUAGCUCAAGAACAGUGCGAAGAGAGCUUUAUGGAAUGGGUGUCCAUGGCCGAGCAGCUGCAUCCAAGUCAAACAUCACUAAGUGCAAAGCAAAGUGUCGGAUGCAAUGGUGUAAAGCACGCCGCCACUGGACUGUAGGGCAGUGGAGACACCUUCUCUGGAAUGACAAAAUGCGCUUCUCCAUCUGGCAAUCUGAUUGGACCAAUAAAGAUUCAUAAAGACAUGGAAGAGAGAAGAGAGAGUUUGGUGUGUAUGAGCUCGACUAGACUGCACAGAGGCCUGACCUCGACCCGACAGAACACCUUUGAGAUGAAUUACAGCAAAGACUGAGAAUCAUGCCUUCUGGUCCAACAUCAGUCUCUGACCACACAAAUGCGCUUCUGGAGGAAUGGUCAAAAUUUCCCAUGAACACGUUCCUAAACCUUGUGGACAGCCGUGCCGGAAGAGUUAAAUCUGUUAUUGCUGCAAAGAAUGGACCAAAGUCACAUUGAACAGUAUGGAUCAAGAAUGGGAGUGAGUCAAGGCAGGAUCAGAUUUAUCAACAUUAGCAGCUGUGAUCAGAUGAGGUGUGUGGUGAUGAGGCCGAGCGUGUGAGGUCAGCACUGAUCUCUCAAACGAGGGACGGCCCGUCUUAAUGGGACCAGGGUCUUAUCAGAGGAAUCUAAAGAGCUCCCUGAAGUUCACCUCAGUUUAACCGCAAGCUUUCAGUUGACACAUAUAUGGCCCAGUGAUGUACUCUGGAGGGAGGACCACUCACGUUCAUGAGAGUACAUGCAUACAGUUGGCUAUACAGCAGAGGUUUUCACACCCCUUAAACUUUUUCAUGUUCUACACUAUAACCGCAAACCUUUAUUUGAAUUUGAUGUGAUAGUCCAAUUUUUUAUUUUUUUUUACAAAACAAAUCACAAAGGUGCUAUUUGGCCUGCUUAAACAUGAACUUUCCCUUUAGUUUCAAUUCUUUCCUCACUUCUCUAUUUAGCUUCAUCCAUUGGGCCAACUUCUCUGUCCCUGUUAAAGAAAAGCAUCCCGACAUGUUUCACCAUGGGGUUGGUGUGUUAAGGGUUCUUCCACAUGUUUUCUGUGUCCUUACAUGGCUUGUGGUACACUGCAAACAGGACUGUGUGUGACUAGAUUUGUGGAGUACACAUUUAAUAGCUGUCCUAUCAACUGAUUUUCCCACCUGAGCUAGGGAUCUUUGCGGCUCCACCAGAGUUACCAUGGUCCUCUUGACUGCUUUCCCUGAUUGAUGCUCUCCUUGCCCAGCCUGUGAAGUUUAGUCGGACGGCCAUGUCUUGGUAGGUCUCCAGUGGAGCCAAAAUCUAUCCAUCUUGAGAUGAUGGAUUGAACAGAACUCUGUGAGAUAUUUAAAGCUUGGGAUAUUGUUUUAUAACCCAACUUCUCCACUAACAUCUUUCAAACGUCUCCACUACUUUAUUCCUGACUUCUCUACUGUGUUCCCUGGUCUUCAUAAUGCUUUUUCUUCACUAAUUUUACCUAAAAAACCUCUGAGGUUUGAUUUUCAUCCAGUCUGAUAGGCUUUUUCCUUUAGGAGCACAACGCUGACAGAUGGAGUGAUCCAGCUCUAAAUCCUUCAGCCUAUCUGUUUAAACCAGAAUAUGAUUGUCCACAAGCCACAAUGGAUGUUAAUAUGAAUGCAGAGGCUGAUGCAAACAGUGGUGAGAACCAUGAUCGUGUUCGGGACUGGUUCAAAUUUAUUCAUAUUUCCAUCUACAUGCUUGCCUCCUGUAAACGCCAUGUUCUGCUGAUUUAGCCUCAACUCAUUAUAUGACCGGCCUGCACAGCAGUCUUACAAAUGACAAACAAAUCCUUUCAACACUCAGCAAAGUGCACAGAGUUUACUUCAUUUGACGACUCAUGCAGAACAGAACCGAAUACUGGGUUCUAAAAUUCCGCUCUUCAUGUUGAAGUUAAUAACGUACUUUGGUUCAUGUUUCAUGUGCAGUUAUGGUCGGGUUACCUGGCAUCGUAAGUCUGUAUGCUUGUCAAUUCCUCUGGGUAGUUUUAGGAGACGAUGAAGCGGUUUUGCAGAUUCUGGAUGGUUUAUAUUUGAAAAUAAAAUCUGGUCCGUCCGUCAUGGUCCUCUUUAUGAGCUGCUUCCCUAUGUUCUGUUGUUGCUGAUUUCUCAACAUAUGGUUCAACAGAUUUGCUACAGACCUACAUAAAGCAAUGAGUCCCCUCUGAAGAACAAAUAUGGAAAAAGAAACAUAAACUAACACCUGAUGUGACAUCUUUGAGUCAACUCCACAUAAUAUGAAAGUUGGUUUGUUGUGAGGGUGACUUUUACCUGGUCAAAUCAUGAUUUACAAUCAAGCAACAAAACAAAUUGAAAAACAGACUUGGCAUUUUGUUUUAUAGAAAGCAACAUAUAUGCUGUGUGAGUUUGACUCAUUUUAAAGUUUUGUGACCAGUAAUGUUAAAUAAAAUAUCAAAUUGUUAUUACAUUUUACCCUUAUAUGCAUUUUGCUUCCUCUUAACUUUAACGUCAGUAUCCCUUCUGCAAGAACAGAGAAAUUUGUUCUUUUACCCAAGGCUCCGAGAACAACAACAGAGUUAUUUCUGGCUGGGACAUUUUAUACUUUACAAAAACUCAAGUGCAGAACUCCUGGGAAGUUUUCAUAGGUCUCUCCUACUGCAGCAUACAUCCUUUAUGUUUCCCUGACAUCCCACAAGAAAAACAUUCUGCCCAGAAUAUGUGCCAAGAUACAAGAGUUCCUAGACCAGAGAUCUUUGUACAGAACUAUGACAUUAUGUUGUCGCAGCUCUGAGAGGGAGAAAAAGUUGUCUAUGUUUUGUGGAGUUUGUACUUAAACUGUGUUAACAGAUGACAAAAAUGUGAUUCUCAAAAACAAAAUUUGUAUUCCUUAAAGAACUGAAGGAAAUGGAGGGCUGUGCCAUCUGAUUAUUUUAUUGUGCAUUCAGUGUGAUCCUAUUUAUACAGUAGAAGGCUUUGAGAAAUUACUAUGGUAAAAUUAAACUUUGUAAAUCUAAUUGUUGAGGAUAUGUUGUUUACUCCAGCGACACUCAAGGUGUUACAUACUGUAUUUUUAUAAAUGCAUUCUUGGCUCACUUGCUGACUGAAAACAAGGUGUGUAAAUGUGGAAAGCAAAAAUGAGCAAACAUGGAAAAUAUAUAAGGGAGGCCAAUGGCACACAGGUGGACAGUGAAAUUGAACGCUGCUGGAUAAGGAGGCAAGAGUUGCAAUGAGGAGGGGUGAUGGCAGUUGCAGGGUUGUCUUUCUUAAAAGUCUACCCUUGUGUCACAGCGCCCCUGACAUCAAAUAUACCAUAUUACGUUGAUCUAUGGAGACCCAAUGAGGACAACUCCGUUAAAUGAUUUAUCUCUUUAUGAGAUUAAAGGAGGCCAAGGCCUCCUCCAAACAAAUACAAGCUCUGAAGGUCAACAUGAAUCUUAAACUGAAAGAUUUAAACUCAUCCAACCUUCAGAACAUAGACCUGAACAAAAAGACCACAGCCUCUAAAUUUUACCAUGAUUUUCUGCCAUGACUGAUAAAGGAGUUUCCUCUGCACAUAUGCUUUGUUGCAAAUGUACAGCAAUAUCAGACAACACUCUAAACACAUUAGCGCAAACCGUCUGUCAGACUUUCAUGCAGACCGGAUUAUUUGGAGCACUGACAUGUUACUGGCAUCUUUCAGGAUUCCACAGCCGUGAUGAAAUCCCUUUUUUGGGAACAUUAAGGUCAGUUAUUUUUUCCUGUUUGCUUUGCAAAUUGUAAGCAUGGACGUAACAGUUAAUCAAGUACAUGAAUGCUUGAACCACUUUCUUUUUCUUUUUUUUUUUACGAAGCCCUGUCACAUCCAGUGGUUUCAUUCCUGUUUCUUUGACCUUUACACUCCUGCCUAUUAGUCACUUUGUAAGGUUUUUGGUCAAGGAAUGCAGGCUUGUUUCAUUGUUGCUUUAUUUUGCAGAAAUGGGAUAAUUUAACAGUUUUGCAUGCAAAAAACAAACUCAAAUAUGUAGAAGUGGAUUAAAAUUUCUGACAAACAAACAGUCUUCCUCAUUUUUCUCUUGUCUACCGGGUUAUUCUGCUGCCUGCCAAAGGUCAAUUGCAGACAUGAAAAGGUCUCUUUUUUUCUCCCCCCAAGAAUUGCCUACUUUUGUUUUCCUUUUACAAGAGUUAGCUCCUUUUAUAAGUAUUAGCCAGUGUUUUCGCUAACAUGCUUUGCUGUUUUUGGUCUGUCUUGCAAUGAAAACACUCAUUUAAAUUCAUUUGGAAAUGAGUGGGUGAGAGACAAAGUGGUGCAUGGGCGAGAUACGAUCAGGGCCGUGGAACAUGAGGGUUUUGAAACGAGCUAAGACUCCAACAUGGGCAAAAGAGUUCUAAAUCAGGGUAAAGCAUCCAGAGGAAUGUAGCUUCACAUGUCUUGCAGUUCAUUCGACAUGGGAAUAUUUGUCUCACUUAUAAAAAUCAGUACUCGAGAGUGUCUGGUGAUGUUAAUGGAGAAGUGAGACAAAGGAGAAAAAUGACUUUUAUUUGAUGUCUUCUGUUCUUCUAAAGCAGGGGAGAAGAAUUGUGACUCAUACUGGCUUACUCACACCUUGUUAUUAUUAAACUUACUUGAUUUGUGUGGGACCGUGGAACCCA